UACUGAGUGGCGAACGGGUGAGUAUAAUGUGGGUAUCUGCCUUUUGGUUUGGAAUAACACGAGGAAACUUGUGCUAAUACCGGAUAAGCCUUCACAGGGAAAGUUUUAACGCCAAAAGAUGAGCCCGCACUUGAUUAGCUAGUUGGUAAGGUAAUGGCUUACCAAGGCUACGAUCAAUAGCUGAUCUGAGAGGAUGAUCAGCCACAUUGGGACUGAGACACGGCCCAAACUCCUACGGGAGGCAGCAGUGGGGAAUCUUGCACAAUGGGGGAAACCCUGAUGCAGCGAUGCCGCGUGAGUGAAGAAGGCCUUUGGGUUGUAAAGCUCUUUCGUCGGGGAAGAAAAUGACUGUACCCGAAUAAGAAGGUCCGGCUAACUUCGUGCCAGCAGCCGCGGUAAUACGAAGGGACCUAGCGUAGUUCGGAAUUACUGGGCUUAAAGAGCUCGUAGGUGGUUAGAAAAGUUAGUGGUGAAAUCCCAAGGCUUAACCUUGGAACUGCCACUAAAACUUUUUGACUAGAGUAUGAUAGAGGUAAGCGGAAUUUCUAGUGUAGAGGUGAAAUUCGUAGAUAUUAGAAAGAACACCAAUUGCGAAGGCAGCUUUCUGGAUCAUUACUGACACUGAGGAGCGAAAGCAUGGGUAGCGAAGAGGAUUAGAUACCCUCGUAGUCCAUGCCGUAAACGAUGUGUGCUAGACGUUGGAAAUUUAUUUUUCAGUGUCGCAGCAAAAGCGUUAAGCACACCGCCUGGGGAGUACGACCGCAAGGGUUAAA
rnacentral:rRNA from 1 species